CUAGACCUCAGCCAAAAUCCUAGUUUUGCUGUUGCCCAGCAAAACCAGCACCUCUUUGAUAAAAUUUAUUAUAGCGAACCCAAAGGCUCUUUUAAGAGCCAUCCACAUUGCUUCACUGAUUGGACAUCUAAUUCAUCUUUAUUGGACAUCUAAUUCAUCUUUCAGCUUGCCUCUUAAAAACUGCCAGGAAACCUUAAAAACUGCCAGGAAACCCAAAAAACCACCGAUUCAACUAAAAAACAAAGCCUACAAAUUCUACCCAAAAAAAACGACCCAUUUUUUACCCCACCCAGACCACUCUUUUGCCCUAACCCCAAUACACCGACUACCCCCAAACAGAACGCCCCUUUUAACUUUUUGCUUUGACAGAAAGAGUGAGAGCAGAACUACCUACAGCUCCAGUGUGCCCUGCUGCCUUGAGUGUCUUCACAAAGCAACGUUGAUUAGAGGACUGCGUUGGGAAAUCAACACCAUCAACACACACAAUAAUUUACUAUAGUUUUAAAAUUACAUAAUUUCCUGUAGUCUUUUAGACUGCUUAUAAUAGAUAAUACACAUUACAGUACUUUUAAAAGUCAUUAAUAUAUCAGUAAAAAAAAAUUGUUUUUGCAAGUUCAUCUUUGAAACGCAUUACAUUUAUAUCUGAGUCUUUUCACAUUUGCCUAUACUCUACUAAUUAAUUGCAUUAGUAAUAUUGCCUUUGGUUAUCAUUUCUGUAAAAUAUUGGGGAUAACAAUUCAACAGUUCCAUUGCUAUAGUCUUGUGUGUUUGUAUAUCUAAUUUCUUGACUGUUUUAACGGUGAAAUUUUAGUACAGUACUUUAAUAUAUCAGUAAAAUAUUCUAAGUUUGACUGUUGUUGUAACUGCUAUUUGAAUAGACUACAUUUAAAGGUCAUUAAAAUAUUUUGGUUUGCCAAGUUCCUCUUUGAA